rnacentral:lncRNA from 1 species
ACAAAGUCAUAUUUCAAUGAAAUGGCAGUAUAAGCUUGGAAGGGAACGCGCGUCCUUCACCGCGAAGGAUAUCCAAAUUGUGAUGUCAACUAAACAUGUCACAAGGUGCCCCAUCAAGCAACGUGCCUUGAAUUUUGAUUCCCUUUAUGAGGCAGAUCAUGGUUCUUGAUUUUAUUCUAAUGCACAAUUCUUUGUUAGUCCUUUGGUCACGAUAUUGUUCACGGUUUGCAUUAUUCAUGUUAAUUUCACACUAAUUUAAGCCUAUGUAUGUAGAACUGCUAGAGAUGGCAUGAUAAGUGUUACUGUUGUAGAAAAUAAUGUUUUGUUUUGCAUACAUGUAGAUGGAGUUGUAAUUGCUAAAUAGUCACUUAAAUGAAAAUUGUACAUUUGAAGGUUAUGUAAAGAAUAGGAUGUCAUUUAUCAUGAUGAUAGGUUGAACAUGUAUUGGUAGAAGUUUUGUUGGUAUUGUUUGGGUCAAUGUUUGUAUUCUUCAAUUGUAAACCCUCUUUAAAAGAACUGCAACUAUUUGUCAGAAAUUAUGUGUAUGUUAAAGUAUGGAUUCUUGUGUUUUUUACUUCAUUCAGUGUUUACUUCUUUUGACGUUUAGUUCUUUUUUUAACUAGUAAAGUUAUGUUUGUACUUUUUCAAAUAUAAAGUUAUCUUAAUGCAAUGCAAAAGGUUCACAAACUUAACAUCAUUGUAGUUCCUUCGAUUUAGAAGAGAUGUCGAACUUUUGACGAAAAAUGAACGUACGUAUUGGUGUCUCCCAAAACACUUGAGUAUUUUAAGAUGUGGUGUUGGUUUCCCCAAAAGGACAUCAGCGCAGUAUCCAAUGCAAUUCUACCUUGAUUUUAAGAAGCAGGCAAUAAGAACUUAUAUGUUAAAGCAAUGAGAAAUGAUAUUUGAACAACAAUUUUUUGACAACGUUUGUGACAACUUUCUCUCUCUCAUACUCACAUUUUGUUUUUAUUUUCUCUCUCUAUUGCUUUGAUUUUUGUGCCAAUACUCAUAUUUCUUUGUAUAUUUAGGUUGUCCCACAAGUUGUCAACAAAAAUGGUUGUUCAAAUAACACUCCUCUAAAGCAAUAUGAGCUUCUAUGUUAAAACUGUCUUUUGUCGUGAUUUUGGAAAAAAAUGUGGAUUACAAUCGCAUAUUUAAACAGAGGUUUAGUGCAAAUGUCUAAGUUAUAAUAUAAAAAGAUAUCAAUAUUUUUUAUUUUUUAUAUUUUAACCUUUUACAUAGGCUAUUUUGAAUACUUUAGAAUACGAAGAAAUAAUAAAUUACUUUAAUCAUAAUAAAGGAAUUUUUUCUCAAAUAAUUCCUUUUUUCGAUGUUAACCCCUUAAUCCAUGGUCUGAUAAUCCGAAGUUCGACCAAGAGGUAAGUAAAAUUUGACAAAAUUAUUCCAUCCAAAAAUAAAACUCGGAUCUUUUGAUGGAGCUCAUUAACUACUUAAGCUCAAUCGUUUGAUUUAUAUUUCAAACAUUUCUUGUAAAUAUAAUAACAUCGUAUACAAUUUUACUUUAAAAAUAAGAGAUUGUGUACCAUUUUUUUUUUUUUGAGGGAAAUGUGUACCAAUUUAUAUUUUCAAUAAAUUCGUAUUCGUAUACAUGACAAGUGAAAACAUGUAAAAGUGGUUUAGUACUAUUAAUCUAGUUGCCGAGGUUCAAAACUUGGACGCGGUCUUUUGAUUGCGACUAUUGAAUAAACCGAUAUAUAGCACUUAUAUUAAGUUACACCAAUGCAAUCAUCACUGAAUCAAUCAAUCAAUAUGGCUAUGAAUCCUAAUCAACAACAUAUUUCAACUGAAGAUUUAAACCGCUAUAGACAUUUUCUCAGUCAACUUGACUCCCAAGUUAACAAGGUCAAUUUAAUUUCUUGUUCAUUUAUUUUUCUCUUUUCAUCAUUCUUUAUCGUCGUCACCAAUUCAUCAAUAUUGCACAAAAUGUGCUCUGGAUCAUAUUGCUCAAUUAUUUGUUCAAUUUUUUGAUUCUAAAUGUUUUUAUUGUUAAUGUUUCUUGUCUCAGUACAAACCCUAGGGUUUCGGCAUUUGUUCCAAAAUUAAACAACUCAUAUUUUCAUUUCGAUUUCGUCAAGUUAAAAUUAGGUUAUUUGAUCUCCAUCCAACACGUUGGAUCAAAGCAAACUGCUAUCAAGAAACAAAUGUUUAACCGACGUCGAAACAAAUCAUUGCGAAUAUGAAGCCUGGGGACUGGCUUCAUAUUCUCAGUUGUCAAUCUGAUAGGAUUUCCGCCAGGUUUUUGAUGCCAUCGCGCUCCCUUGCGACACAAGUCAGUCUACAUUUCAGCCCACUCACUUCUGUGGGCAUUUUUAUGGCCAUCCUUCUUCUCUAGACACCACAUUCAAAUUGGUGCUCUCAGACCAAGCAUUGUGUUGAUCCUCUCUCAUGACUGUAAUCAAUCUUUUUUCCACUGACAAACGUAACAAACCAACAUUCUUGAUUAUAUAAAUUUGCAAAUAAUUUCAUUGCUAUAGACAGAUUGCUCUACUUGAUCAUGUUGUUGAACCAAGUAAUUAACCGACAUUGAAACAAACCAAACCAUUGAACCAUGUCAGUAAGUUUUUCUCUUUCCCUGUAUGAAGUUGAAUGACAGUGUAAAAAUUGAGUUCUAAUUUCUUAACUCAGUCCAUCAAUAAUUUUUUCUGAUAGUAAUUAUGAUUCAAAAACUCUUGGGGGUGUUAAGUUUUAAUUAUAAGUUUUGCCCUCUUUUUAAGCAAUUAUUUGUAGUUUUCUUUUGAUCAAUUUAUUUAUAGAUUUUAGGUUAAAUUGGUAUUGCAAAUGUGCAAGUAUGGUAAUUUUGUUAUCUUUUUGGGAUUUUAUUUUUAUCAUAUUGCAAUCUUGUUAUCCAAUCUAGCAUUUCUGAUCCAAAGGGGAAUGAAUCAACAUCCUUUUUUUCUUUCUUACAAUAUCUCAUUUGCUUUUUCACCAAUUGCAUUCUAAUUUCUAUAACACAGUUAGUGUACACUUCGUCAGAAUAAAUUUGCUGCUAUGCAUUGCUGUGAUUGUCGUGUGUGUAAGUUUGAAUUUUGAACAAUGUGUCGUGUAUUGAAUGCAGCUUGGGAAGCAAGUAAAUGAUGUUGAGCAGUUUUACCAAUCCACUGAUGUUCAACAGAAUGAUUGCAAAUACAAAGGCAGGGAGAAGCCUCCUACCGGAUCUAAGAAGGCGUUGAAACGUGCUUCAGAAGAUAUGCAAGCGGAGAUGAGGCACAAUUUUAACAAAAUAUUCAAUGAGGCAAGUGCAAGUACUUCUGCAAUAACUACUACUACUAUUAUUAUUAUUGCUGCUGUUGUUAUUAUUAUUAUUUCAGAUUAAGAUUGAUUCAUGUGUCUCCACAGGCAUGAAUUGGGUACACUCUCACUUUGAUCAAAAUGAUCUAACCUAUGUCUCUUCCUUCUAUUUGAAUUCUUGAAUUGGACUUGGUUAGGAUUAUAGAACAAAAGGAAAUUAGAGUAGUUAAAUUAGUCAAGAGUUGUUAUAGAAGUUAGUUAGCUAGCUAGCUAGUUGAGGUUGUUAUAACACAAAUGGCAGAGAGCAUGAUUGGAAUAUGGUAAUUGUGAAUAGAGUAUUCUCUAUUGUGAAGGGGAAACGGUUGGAGGAGAGAUUCUCUUUUCGUCUAUCAUAUUUCUUAAAUAAAGUGUUCUUUCUAUUCCAUUCAAUUCUUGGAUUCCUAACAGACUCAAACUUUUAUGUUUAAACGGUACUGAUUACUUUUGACAUUUUCAAUAUCUCAGAAUUGAAAGGAAAAAACCUUACUUCAAUAAAUGACAUUUGAAACUUGUAUGAUGUAUUGUAAGAACUAUGACCAGCUUUCAGUGGUAGACAGCAUUUUGUGGUUUAUCAUGUCACAAGGGUUAUAUAUGAGCAAGUUAGUUUAAGGUGUAAAUGUAUCAGGAGUUUUUUAGAGUAUCUUUUUUUUUUCGUUGAUCACCUAAUUGUCCACUGCAUACAAAAUCUUCAGUAGUGAAGCUGCUUGCCAUGACCAAUUAUAUAUUACUUCAGCCUCUAUCAUUCAGCUAUAUUUAUCCGGUGUUGUUAAAUAGUAGCUAUAGUGGAGUGGAAUUUGAACAUAUCACCAUCGUUUUGUGAUAUGCUAUUUAGUACAAAAUAUGUCAAAUAACAGUUAUAGUAGUAUAGCACUUUUAUGUAGCGGAAUUUGAACAAACCAUUAUUUUCCAGGAUCCGCGAUUGACAACGCUGAUUUACCAUUAUAUGUACAUAAAUAAAUAAAUUAUUGCAAGAAGAUAUAUUGAUUUUAUGGAUAAGAUUAUUAUCUUCUACAAUGCUACUUUCAUUAAAAAUAAUAAAGCAGGGAUUUGUUAACUUUUCACUUGCAAUGAUUAACCUUCUCUUUUCAAUUGAAUCUUGUGAAGUAUUUCACCUAGUUUCUUUAAAAUCUCAAUAGCGAUGCCUUUUCUUUUUCUCAGAUAGCUAAGGAUAAAUGGGCGUGGCCAUUUUUGGAUCCUGUAGAUGUUGAAGGUCUUGGGCUGUAUGACUAUUAUCAGGUAAUUUUCUUUUCAUUCCAUUUUUAAGCUUUUCCAUUGACUUGGACUAUAGACAUCUUGAUUACAUUACAUAAAUGACAUUUGAAACUUGAACAUCUUUUGAGAAAUGGUUUAGAUAUUUUCUUGAUCAGUCUUAUACCAAAAACAAUUCAUUUGUUUUUCUUUUCCUAGAUCAUUGAGAAGCCUAUGGAUUUUAGUACUAUAAAAAUAAGAAUGGAGGCUAAAGAUGGCUCUGGUUAUAAGAACGUGAGGGAGAUAUAUGCUGAUGUAAGGCUGAUUUUUAAGAAUGCAAUGAAGUACAAUGAUGAAAAGAAUGAUGUCCAUGUGAUGGCUAAGACCUUGCUGGAAAAAUUUGAGAAGUAAUGGCUGCAUUUUUUGCCUAAAGUUGCUAAGGCGGUAAUUUGUUUUUUUUUCCAAAUACUUUCCUUUGUUUUUGAUGAAUGAAACUUGCUUAUGUACAAUUCUAGAGGUUGCACUUAUAGAAAUAACAGUGGUUUCAGCCAUCCUAUGCAAUAUUUUUCUGUAACUAUAUUAACUUGCUUUAUUUGAUUAUUUCAGGAGAGUGACCUAUCAAAGGAAGAAGCACAUGAGGAAUUGAAUAAAAGGCUUGCUCAAGAAGCAACUUAUGCCAAUAUGACUAGGGAAUUAAGCACUGAGGUUGGUUCAUUAUUUUUUUUCAGAGCUGUGUUUAAAAUCUAAUGAUGUAUGUUACUUGGAAGAAGUAUUUCAGACGGUUAAUUUGUGCAUUUAACUUUUGUUGUUCCAGCUGUCUAAGGUUGAUAUGGCUUUGAGAAGUCUCAAAACAACAGCGAUUUCACAGUGCAGGUCUGUAAAGAGUCACUCGAUGAAUGAUAGUUUAGUGCUACAUAUUAUCUGUUAGUUUAGUGCUUAGUCCCGCAAUGAAUGAUUCUUGAACCCCCUUAUGAUAGGAGAUUUGUGGAUUUAGAUUUCAUGCAUCCACACAGUCACGCUGUCAUCGAUUUGAAUUGUCUAGCUAAGAUCAGGCGGUCCUCAUUUCAACUCUAUAUUUUAGUCUUGGAUUACAGAGUUGAAACUAUGAUUGAUCUGACGGUCCUGGUUGCAUGACUGCUUCAAAUAGGUGAUUCUCUUGUUGCAAGAAAUCAGGAUGAGUUUUAUAGCACCUAGUCUCCCAUUAGUUUGUUCCUCUAAAGACAACUGAGAAUUCGUUAUUGAUUUCCUUUUGGUGAUGUUAUGAAAUUAUGUUGCUUAUUAUGCAUUGUUCGGUGGUUGACAAUACUUCAGGAAACUGUCACAUCCGGAGAAAUUAAUACUUGCGAAUGCCUUCACCAAAUUGUCUCCUGAUAACAUCGUCAAGGCAUUGGAGAUAGUUAAAGAGAGCAAUCCAAAUUUCAAAGAUCGUAUUGAUAUGGUGACCCUUGACCUUGAUUCUCAGGUUUGUCAUAUUAUAUAUUGAUACUGAAUUACUGAUGUUGUUUGCUUUCAUUAAUUUUUUAAUUUUGUUUGUCUUAUCUUAUCUAUAAAAGUUUUGAUUUUGUUUAGCAAGUGUUAUUUAGCUACUUACUAAUUUCAUUAGCAUAUUAUACUACAGAGCGACUACACAUUGUUUAGAUUGCAUAUGUUUGUUAAAAACACACUAGAAGUUCAAGAAGGAACAAGCGUUAUUAAUCAUGAAGACAACAUCGAGGAAAUGAAAAACAAUGCCAAAAAGAGGAGAAUUGUGUGAUUCUCUUGCCGAAGACAUGUAAUAAGGACAAAAAAUUACAUACUUUGUGAUUCAGCUGUGCGAGAAAUAAGGUAGUGUUUUAGUUUUGGUCGAGGUUGAUGCUCAAAAACUUUAUAGGUUGGACAUGCCGGUAGGUCUUUUGAAACCUUUCAUUGUAAGCUCAACGAGGCAUGAAGACAACAUUAACCUUUUCUUGUUUGACAAUAUUUUUUGAACAUAUUGAACAUAUUUGUAGAGAAAUUUAUGCCACUUGAUGAGGGAAAAUAAAUAUUGAAAUAGUUGAUGCAUUCUUAGAAAUUCAUUAACUUUUAGAAAUUGUCACCGGUUUUAAACAACAAUUUCAUUCUUCAGCACGCAUACAUUCUAUUUUCCAUGUCCCUCAAUUGAAGAAGGCAGUAGAAAACCAUCCUGUCUGCCACACAAGAAUUACUUGUGGAUUUCAAGCUGAUGGAUUAUUGGGCCAAAUAAACAAAGAAGAACUAAUACCAUGAGACAAACAUUCCUUGACCAAAUGAAAUACCAUUUGAACUUUCACAUGUACAAGUUUUGAAGAAAUUGUCACUACAAUAUACUAAAUGCAAGACCUAUGAAUCAAAAUUGCAACCAAAACUGAUGAUAACAAAACCAACAGUAGUUCAAAUUAGUCUCAUUUGUAGUUAACUUUGAUUUUGAUCUAAUAAUACACUCGAUUAAUGCAUAAAUUUUAUCACCUAUUAAUGGUGCAUGAUUUCUACAAAUAACUUUGCCAACGGAUAUCAAUAUUAUUCCUUUUAUUAUUAUUAUUAUUAUUAUUAUUUUUUUAUAUAAUUUUUCCUUUCUUUUAUUUAAAGAAAAGAUGCUUAUAGCAUUUCAUUAAUAAUAUUAUUCCUUUUUUUUUUAUAAUUUUUCUUUUUCUAUCAUAAAAGGUUAAAUAGUCGAAAUUUAUUAAAUUAAACAAAAGGAAGUCUUAUGAUUGAUAAGUUUUUUUUAUGUGAUCUUUUUACAAAGUGUGUUAAAGUGACAAACACAAUACUUUAACUCCUUAAAAAAAAAAACACAAUACUUUAAUGUAGUUAAGAGAGAUUCAAUAAUUAUUCUAAUUUUAUGAUGGUUUUUUUUUUAUUUUUUUUAUUUUACAAUUUCAUAAGGGCUAAAAGUUAUUUUGUUGGUGUAAGGAGAAGACCAACUCUAUAAAUUAUAAAAUGAUAAAAUCAUUUGUUACAUUCAAAGAGGGGAUGCAUGACUAUAAUUAUCAAAUUUGUUAAUGUUUUGAUUAUUUUUCUUUCUCUUUUUCAUGUUGCAAAGAAUGACGACAAUAAAUUACUUUUAUCUUUUAUUGAAGAAGGUAAGCUACUUUUAUUAUUUACAAAUUUCCUUAUUUCGUACGCAAUAUUUAUUCCAUGUUAGUUGAUUUUUAUUUUUUAUUUUUUUACAUUAGGUUUUUUAUGUUUUAAGGAUUCUGAUUGUCCAUACAAUAUGUGUCCGUCUCCUUUAAAAGAAAUGUGUUAUUUCAUCAAGUGUGUAUGUGGUGUGUACGGGCCUAUAAGAGAAAGAAGGUUGUACCAAAGCCAUAAUCCAAUGAUCCAAUGAAUUGGAAGUAAGCUUGAAACUUGGAAGGGAAUGCGUCCUUCACCGUGAAGGAUAUCCAAAUUGUGAUGUCAGCUGAACAUGUAACAGAGUGCCCCUUCAAGCAUUGUGCUUUGAAUUUUGAUUCCUUUUAUGUGGCAAAUCAUGGUUCUUGAUUUUAGUCUAAUGCACAAUUCAUUGUUAGUCCUUUGGCCACGAUAUUGUUCACGGUUUG